rnacentral:rRNA from 1 species
AACGAACGCUGGCGGCGCGCCUAAUACAUGCAAGUCGAGCGAGAAGACGUAGCAAUACGUUUGUAAAGCGGCGAACGGGUGAGGAAUACAUGGGUAACCUACCCUCGAGUGGGGAAUAACUAGCCGAAAGGUUAGCUAAUACCGCGUACGCUCCUUGGACUUCGGUUCAGGGAGGAAAGCGAUACCGUGGGUAUCGCGCUCUUGGAUGGGCUCAUGUCCUAUCAGCUUGUUGGUGAGGAACGGCUCACCAAGGCUUCGACGGGUAGCUGGUCUGAGAGGACGAUCAGCCACACUGGCACUGCGACACGGGCCAGACUCCUACGGGAGGGC